AGAUGUGAUGGCGCCGAUUCCGAAGACUGUGGGGCGGAUCAAGCUAGACUGCCCUCUACGGCCCAGCUGCCCACUGGAGGUCGCUGCUGUACCCAAACUUUGCAAGGAAUUCGGUCCAGAGGAUUACGGCGAAGAGAUUACCUCCUGGGCCACUUGGAUGAUGAAGGGAAAUCAAUUGGACAGAGUGACAGGGGCAAGGGGGCUGAGGGACUGGGCACCUACUGUGGUCUCCGCAAGUCCUUCCUAUAUCCUCCCCAGGAGUCUGAGCCCUGCCCUCAAAGCCCCUCUGCCUCUGCCACCUUCCCCAGUGUCUCAGACAGCCUGCUUCAGGUGGCCAUGCCCCAGAAGCUCCUGGUGACAGAAGAGGUGAGAUUCUCAGGAGAGGGCUUUGCCGUCCCCCAGGGUUCUUUCAAUCCCCGUAUCCCCAUCCCUAUAUUCUCCCCUAAUUGGUACCUUUCAAGAUCCUUCUGUACUGCCUGCCCCCUUUCAUGUUUGCUCUCCAUUUCCCUGUUUCUCCCUUUUUCUGUCACCUGCCCUUCGUCCUUCAGGAAGCCAACCGCCUGGCUGAGGAGCUGGUGGCUGAGGAGGAGCGCAUGAAACAGAAAGCAGAGAAGAAGCGACUCAAGAAGAAGGUGGCUAGAGCAUGGCUGGAGGGUGCAGGGGAGCCAAAGGGAUUUGGGAGAGGGAAAGAGGAAGCUUUGUGGGAACAGGAGAGAGCUCAAGAUGGCCUGCAGUGGACUCUCUUGCCAGGAGGACACAAGGGGCCCAGGGACUGGGGGGUCUCUCACAGGCCAUCUGGUGCAGUGGUUCCGGAAUCCUACUGUGCUGCCUAGGUAGGAAUCUGCCUCCUUACAUGAGGCCUCUUGCUGGUGCCUCUCUUGUCUGCUUUUUCACCUGCAAAAUGAGGAUAAUAAUGAUGCCUGUCUCACAGAGCUGCAAAGAUGGAAUGAGAAAUCUUAGCCCAGCACAUGACAUACAGUAAGUGUUCAAAAUACAUCAUUGUUACCAUUACUAUUGCAGCGUCAAAAGGAACGAAAGCGACAGGAGCGUUUGGAGCAGUACUGUGGAGAGCCCAAGGCCAGCACUACCUCAGAUGGAGAUGAGAGCCCCCUAUCCAGCCCUGGAAACCCAGUUCAGGGGCAGUGUGGUGAAGAAGAGGACUCACUGGAUCUAUCUAGCACUUUCGUGUCUCUGGCUUUGCGCAAGGUUGGGGAUUGGCCCCUCAGUGCCCGCAGAGAGAAGGGACUGAACCGGGAGCCCCAAGGCAGGGGCCUGGCCCUCCAGAAGAUAGGUCAAGAGGAAGAGAGCCCUCCAAGAGAGGAGAGGCCCCAGCAGAGUCCAAAGGCACAGGUGAGGUGGCUGAAGAACCUUUUUCAGCUGGAACCGUGGAAGGGGCACAAGGAGCUGCUGGGGAGGCACAGGGUCUAAGGAUUGACACAGGGUCCAGUGGGAGUUCUCUGGCUCUAGGGUCAAGAGACCUGCAGUCAGGCCCCAUCACUGUCACCAUGACCCCGGGUGGUUUCCUCUCUAGGAAGAUAGGGCUGAUACCAUCUUGUAGGGCUGUCAUGAGGAUUACAUGAGUUGGGUAAUGCUAAUUGCAGUGUUACCUGUCUAAACAAAGGAGAAGGAUUUGGGGAGGCUGAGACCCCAAGUCCUGCUUGACUUUGCACCCUAUCCCCAGGCAUCUCCGGGACUGCUGGCAGCUGCCUUACAACAGAGCCAGGAACUGGCAAGUGAGAUCCUUUCUCUCUCCCUCCUCACCCCACCCUCCCUGGGGUAGCCCCAUCUGAACCUUCUCACCCUCUUUCCUUUCCAGAGUUGGGUACCAGCUUUGCUCAAAAUGGUUUCUACCAUGAGGCCGUGGUCCUCUUCACCCAGGCCUUGAAGCUCAACCCCCAGGACCACCGGUAGGUGGGGGCUUGGCCAGGGCAGGGCAGAGUGUUGAGGACUCAGACCUUUGGCCACCUUCUGUCUUUAUCAGGUUAUUUGGAAAUCGUUCCUUCUGCCAUGAGCGGUUGGGUCAGCCAGCGUGGGCCCUGGCUGAUGCCCAGGUGGCCCUUACCUUACAGCCUGGCUGGCCUCGGGGCCUCUUCCGCCUGGGCAAGGCCUUGAUGGGAUUACAGCGCUUCAGAGAAGCAGCUGCUGUGUUUCAGGAAACUCUGAGAGAUGGGUCCCAGCCUGACGCAGCCCGAGAGCUCCGCUCUUGCCUUCUCCAACUCACACUGGGUCAGCGAGGAGGAAUCUGUGCACCACCUCUGUCACCUGGGGCCCUCCAGCCACUUCCCCAUGCUGAGCUGGCACCCUCAGGCCUACCUUCCCUCAGGUGCCCUCGAAGCACUGCUCGGAGGUCCCCUGGCCUGUCUCCACUCUUGCAUUAUCCUUCAUGUCACCGAAGCCACCCCAACCAGCCCCUCUCCCAGACUCAGAGUAGAAGGCCCCAUCCUCUCCAGCCCCAGGACCCUUCAAAGCGCUGGGACAUCCUGGGACUUGGGCUCCAGCAUCUACCUCAGGCCAGAUGAGGGGGCACCGGUCCCUCAUAGGGCAGGGCCAUGUAUAUAUCCCAUGGUGGGGGACAUAGCGUGGUGACAGUUCACUGCAUAUUUUGAGACCUUAUUCUCUAGAUCCAUAGUUAAUGAUGCCCCUGGCAGUCAUUCCUCUUGCCAUGGGGAAGCUUCUGAUGAGAGAAAGGAGCCCCACAUCCACUGAAACAUCCUUUGGUUCUCAAGCUUCUUCUGGAGGCAGUAAGGAAAAAUAAAACCCACCAAGGCUCAAGAAGGGAACUAUAGAAAAGUUCAGGUUUCUAGGCCAUAGCAGAGACAGUGAGAAAGCAUCUGGGCCUUGCUCUUCCUCUUGGUCCGGGGGACCUCAUUCACCAACUAGAGCUUGGUAUACAGGAACGGGGUCACAGUGCUGAGGGGGGUUGAGUCCCACCUUUCAGUUUGAUGGAUGCUCACCUCUUCUCAGCCCCAGCUCAUGCCCUGUUUUUCUAGCCAUAGCCCCCAGAUUACUCACAGCUCCUCAUGCCAUUUUCUGUCCAGAUUGCUGUGUGUGACUCUGACCUCUCUUGUCCAGUGGUCUGGUGCUCACCUCCUCUCACUGCUAGAAUAUUCACCAAGGGUUUGCAUUUGGGAAGUCCCUUACCAGCUCCUGCUUAGAGCUGGUAGGGCCAUACAUGUCCACACUCCCAACUGGUGGCUCUCCCGCUAAAUGGGGCCUCAGCAGGUGCCCAGGCUGCUACAACCUUGGCCUCUCUGUUUCUCCACCCCAGCAUUGGGCAUUGUAAUUAGCCUUUCCCCAUGUUAAUUUAUUCAGUUUUUUCAAGGGUCAACUGAAUUCACCACUUUCUGGGUAAGAAUCAUGAUCUCCUUUUAAUUUCACCUCUAAGAUCCUGGCAGCUUCCCCUAGCUGGUUCCUCUGUAGUCCUGCUGAGACUGUCAGCUCAUUUAAAUGUGGGUCUGCAGGAGGCUUUAGGUCUCCCCCAACCCCCUUGCCUUUCACAGAGGAACCAUUCAUCAGGAUAAAUGAUUAUUGCUGCCCUGUGGGUCUUGCUCAAUACUGUUCAUACCUGGAGAGAGGAGGUAUUGAAACAUCUCCUUUAUGUGUGACUUUCCUAAAUUUUUAAAAAUUGUUUAUGGUUUAGGCCCAUUAAAUACUGUGUAGCAGGAUGAAGUCUACCAUUACCAGCUGGGUCACCUUGGAUGGGUCUGUCAACAUCUAAGCCUCAGUUCCCUCACCUGUAAAAAUGAGGGUAGUCCCUACCUCAUAAGGGAUAUUGUGAGGAUGGAAAGCAAAAGUGUGAGAAAAUACCUCCCAAGUGCCUGGUACAUAGUGGGUGCUAAAUAAACCAAUUUUUGUCUGCAA
rnacentral:sRNA from 1 species